CAGCCGCCGCGGGAAAACGUAGGGUGCAAGCGUUAAUCGGAAUUACUGGGCGUAAAGCGUGCGCAGGCGGUUAUAUAAGACAGAUGUGAAAUCCCCGGGCUCAACCUGGGAACUGCAUUUGUGACUGUAUAGCUAGAGUACGGCAGAGGGGGAUGGAAUUCCGCGUGUAGCAGUGAAAUGCGUAGAUAUGCGGAGGAACACCGAUGGCGAAGGCAAUCCCCUGGGCCUGUACUGACGCUCAUGCACGAAAGCGUGGGGAGCAAACAGGAUUAGAUACCCCGGUAGUCCCUGUCUCUUAUAC
rnacentral:rRNA from 1 species